rnacentral:rRNA from 1 species
AACGAACGCUGGCGGCAUGCCUAACACAUGCAAGUCGAACGAGACCUUCGGGUCUAGUGGCGCACGGGUGCGUAACGCGUGGGAACCUGCCCUUAGGUUCGGAAUAACUCCCCGAAAGGGGUGCUAAUACCGGAUAAUGUCUUCGGACCAAAGAUUUAUCGCCUUUGGAUGGUCCCGCGUUGGAUUAGCUAGUUGGUAGGGUAAAAGCCUACCAAGGCGACGAUGCAUAGCUGGUCUGAGAGGAUGAUCAGCCACACUGGGACUGAGACACGGCCCAGACUCCUACGGGAGGCAGCAGUGGGGAAUAUUGGACAAUGGGCGAAAGCCUGAUCCAGCAAUGCCGCGUGAGUGAUGAAGGCCUUAGGGUUGUAAAGCUCUUUUACCCGGGAUGAUAAUGACAGUACCGGGAGAAUAAGCUCCGGCUAACUCCGUG